rnacentral:rRNA from 1 species
UACGGAGAGUGCAAACGUUGUUCGGAUUCACUGGGCGUAAAGGGCACGUAGGCGGCUCGGCAAAUCGGUCGUGGAAUCCCGACGCUUACCGUCGGAACGGCGGCCGAAAAUACCGGGCUCGAGGGCGUGAGGGGUCACUGGAACUCCUGGUGAAGCGGUGAAAUGCGUAGAUAUCGAGAGGAACACCUGCGGCGAAGGCGGGUUGCUGGGCCGACACUGACGCUGAUGCGCGAAAGCCAGGGGAGCGAACGGG